rnacentral:rRNA from 1 species
CCUACGGGAGGCAGCAGUGGGGAAUAUUGCACAAUGGGGGAAACCCUGAUGCAGCGACGCCGCGUGAGUGAAGAAGUAAUUCGUUAUGUAAAGCUCUAUCAGCAGGGAAGAAAAUGACGGUACCUGAGUAAGAAGCACCGGCUAACUACGUGCCAGCAGCCGCGGUAAUACGUAGGGGGCAAGCGGUAUCCGGAUUUACUGGGUGUAAAGGGAGCGUAGACGGCAGUGCAAGUCUGGAGUGAAAGGCUGGGGCUCAACCCCCGGACUGCUCUGGAAACUGUACGGCUGGAGUGCAGGAGAGGUAAGUGGAAUUCCUAGUGUAGCGGUGAAAUGCGUAGAUAUUAGGAGGAACACCAGUGGCGAAGGCGGCUUACUGGACUGUAACUGACGUUGAGGCUCGAAAGCGUGGGGAGCAAACAGGAUUAGAUACCCCUGUAGUC